GCUUACGGCCACACCGCCUGGUUCACGCCCGAUCUCGUUUGAUCUCGGAAGCUAAGAUAGGGUGGGCCUGGUUAGUACUUGGAUGGGGAGACCGCCUGGGAAUACCAGGUGUUGUAAGAU
ensembl:rRNA 5S_rRNA 5S ribosomal RNA